rnacentral:tRNA from 1 species
GAGGGUAUAGCUCAAGUGGUAGAGCACAUGCUUAGCAUGCACAAGGUCCUGGGUUCAAUCCUCAGUACUGCCU